UUGGCUACUGUGUCAUAUUUUUUCCACGAUGAGGUGAUAUUAGGAGAAAUUUUUAAUUAACUCAAAAUUCACAAUUCGAUGUAAAUCAAUUGCGAAAUUUAAGUGUUAUUUGUUCAGAGGCGAUGUGCAUUAAAAUGUUUGGGAGUAAAAUUAACGAAAUCUUGUGAAACAGAUGAUUUUUGCCGUAGCUCCAGGUCUUUUAGUGUUAUACUGUUGUGGCUACUGUUCUGAAUCUUGUAAAUCAUGUUGUGAAGCAAUUACACGAAGUAAUUUUUGAUUGUAUUAGUGAAAUUGUGUCUGUUUUAUUCGAACGUACUCGCCUCUUAAUUUUGAUGGAUUGAAUAAAACUCAAUAAAAGGCAAUACAACAAUGAAGCCAUUAUUACAAGGAGAUACGAUCACCAACAAUAGCUGUUCUUGCACGUCGUGUGUUUCAAAGAGUGAAUCUAAUGGUCAAGCCUUGAGACGAUUACUGCAAGAAGGAUCUAGAAUCAAUAAAUUAAUUAAUGGUAAAAAUUAUGUACGUAUACAAGACAGUAAAUUAUUGGAUGAAUUCCUUAAAACCAGAGCAUUAUAUGAAGCUCUGAGGAGUCAGUUGCUCUCUAGUAGUUUAAGUGUAAGUAGCAAAGCACACUUGCAGCCAACGCAAUCAACUUCAGCACACCAAGGUCCGGAAAAAAAUGUGGAUACGGAUAAUCUUUUGGCUUUGGUUGACUUAGUAGAUAAAGGAGCUGUUUUGAAAUCACGAAAGUUAAGUGAGUGCUGCAGUUGUUGUGCAUGUAAUUCAAAAACCAGACUACCAGAAAAUGCCCAAAAAGUACGAAGGAAUAGACAAGCCCACAUUGGUGUACACAUCACUUCAAGAUCUAGUCUUGCUUCAAAGCAAGAAAAUAGUGAUGCUAAGAAUAUUAAGUCCGACUCUUGUACGUGUGCAUGCAAAGAUUACGAACAAACGAAUUUAGUUUCUAGAGAAAAAUUUAAUAAAAUCCAUCUUGAACCACCAAUUACUAAACCUGAGCGUCCCACAGGCUUAAAUAAAUCUAAGUUGAAAUCAAUGAACGAUGGAAAGAUGAAAUCAUAUCAUAAACUUAAGCGCUCUAAAGCGAAUCCUAAUACUUAUAACGACAAUAUCAGUGAAAGUAAUAAGAUAAGAAAAUCAAAACAAAAAUCUCGAGAUGACAUGAAGAACUUGGAUCUGCUCGAUCUAGCUCAGAAAAUAAUAAAAGAUAGUUUUAUCGCCGAGCAAAAAGCUAAACAGAAACAUACACCUGAGGAAAAUCCUGUGGCUGCAGGAAGUGGUCGUAAAGAUAAGAAUCCAGUGAAAGAUAACAAUGGUAGUCUUGAAAUAAACAAAUCGCCAUUAAUCCAAAUCACUGAGCAUAGAAUUAAGAAGAUCUCUAAAAGUAGAAACAAGACAAAAUACCCAUCUAACACUUCAGCAACACAUAUAAGGAAGGAUAAAAACAAACCAGAACCAGAAGCUACCGUCAGUGAGCAACAAAAAAAUCUGUCCCAAAAACGCAGUAAAAACAACUUUUUAUAUGACACCCAAGUCGAUGAUAAGAAUCUAGUUAAAGAUAAGAAUGGUAGACGGGAAAUAAAUAAAUCGCCAAUAAUCCAAAGCACUGCGCAUAGAACGAAGAAAAUCUCUAAAAGUAGAAACAAAACAAAAGACCCAUCAAGCAUCUCAUCAACAUAUAUAAGGAAGGAUAAAAACAAUCCAGAACCAGAAGCUACCAUCAAUGAGCAACAAAAAAAUCUGUCCCAAAAACACAGUAAGAACAACUUAUUAUACGUCGAUGACAAAAAGAAAAAGCGUAAAGGACAUCGUAUUGUACAAGAAACAAGUGAAACGAAAAAGGCUCCAUCACAUAAGAAAAUAUCCUUUAAAUCAGUAACGACGUUGCUAUCACCUGCAGAUGUAUCAGGUAAACCGGAAAAACAGUUGACAUUCAGUAGCAGUCAAGCAAAAGAAAUCAAAACUCAUGCAAUUAGAUCCCCUUCCAAGAUUUCAAAAUCAAUAUCUACAAGCUCGAUAAAAAAAAGUUAUUCGCCUUGUAAUAAAAAUUCCCAACCCCGGCAAACACUGUCUAACAAAUCAUCUUUGAAUUCAUUGUCUAAAGAAAACAAAAUAAAAGUGGUAUCGCCGGUUUCGUUUCAUAGACAGCUCAAGCUGCUAUCAGCACCUAUUCGCUAUGGCAAGUCCGCAGUGCCCAAGGAUCCUCCAAAAAUACAGCAAACUGAUGAUCACAGUAAGACUUUGAAACGCGUAAAAUCGCCUCCGCGUGAUGUAUCCCAUGAUCCGGAGAGAUCCGUUCAGCCUAAGACCUCCCGCCACCGGGAGGAAUCCCCUUCGUGUGAGGUGUUCUGCCAACGUGAGAAAUCUUCUCAGCGUAAGAAAUUCCGCCAAGACAAAGGAUCUAGUCAGCGGAAGAAAUCCCGCCAACCUGAAGAGUCUCAAAAGCUUGAUGAGCCCAAGAGGUCUCCUACACGUCUAGAACAAGUCAAGCCCACCCAACUUGAGAAAUCUCGUCCUGGUCAAAAAUCCAAACAGCGAGAAGUAAUUUGUAAGUGUGAAAAACCUGGGACUCAUAUACAAUCCCCUCAACAAAAAGAAUCUCGAUUAAGUGAUAAAUCUAUUUCUCGCAAGAAAUCUGUUCUACGUCGCCCACCCCGUUUACCUUGGGGUUCUCGCUUUUCUGAUCGUAUGCUACCUAGUCACUAUAAGAAACACCAAGUUAAACAAAAACAAAUAAUGAAAAACAUACAGGCCGGUGGCCACGCCCUUAAACGAUGUCUUUGUAGCCUGAAGAUUAAAGUAAAAAAAACGAAAUCUAGAAUUAAUGAAAAUGACAGAAAAGAGAUACCUAAAACGAAAAUAUCACAGAGCAUUCACUCAAAGGAUUCACCUUCCUCCGUAAAAAGUUCUUUAAAAGCAUCUCAUUCAACCAUUCACAAAUCAGAACCCCCAUCUAUUUGCGAGUGUUCCGAUUAUGCUUCCAAAAGCAAGAGUCAAGAGAUAUUAAAUAAAAAAAUACCUGAAAACAUACAAAAAUCUGAACAUAGCUUGCAUAACAAACGUUCAACCUUGUCUGCUCAAACUGACAGUCUCUCUAAAAUAAAAAAGUCGACCCCAACAAGAAGCAAAGGUUCAGAUAUCAGUAGUAAAUCUUCUAAAAGAAAGGGCACAUCUACAUAUGAGCUUUCACAAUCAACUAAGCACACUCGUUCAAACAGCUCAAUUCAUAAAGAGGCAAAGGAAGGAUCCCCAGACCGGAAUAGUAGUAUAUCAGGCCUGAAGCCAAAAUCUGCUUUGAAAAACAGCUAUAGUAUAACCAAAGAAAAACAGCGACUUAAAAACCACGCAGCGCAAACUGCAACUGAUACUGUCAGCAAUAAACAAAAGACUAAGGUACUUCCAAGUCGAGCCACUUCCAAAGGAAUGAAAGUACUAUCAUUUGAACACCGAGCAAAAAAUUGGCACUAUACUUCAACACAUAGAUUCAGCAUUGAAUUAUUUGGGAAUGGUUAUUCCAAAAAGGGACAUAGAAAUAAUCAAAUUACUCUAAAGCCAGUUCAUACAAACAAUACCAGAACCAAAAGAAUACGUAAUAAAGGAUCGCAAAUAAGUAAUUCUACUGGAAAAGUGAGAUAUCCUAAAAGAAAUCACGGUUUACGUAGGUGUUUUUGUAGGUCGAAAUUGUUAGAAAAUAAAAAGAAAAUAAAAGGAAAUUCGUCUAAAAUGAAUAUGAUCCAGCCAGAGAGUAAAGCGGAAAGUUCUCAAACGAAAUUGAAAAUUAAGACUGUAUCAAUAUCUACAGAAAGACAAAUGUAUGGCAAUGUAAUAAAGCAUGUUAUAUUACCAUAUAAAUGUGAAACUACCUUUCGUGGUCCGUUACAAUAUAAUAGGACAAAGUCUUAUAAAAUAACACACACAACCCCUAAAAGAGAAGAGCAGAAGUUAAUUAAACAUGUUAAAGCCGAAUACCGUAAACCGAAGUCUGACUAUAGUAUAACUUCUCAAUCACUGCAAUUUAAGAAGAACAAAGUCCCCUCUAUAGUUUCGCACAAAAGCGAAAUACUUAAACCCAUAUUGAAGAAAAACAAAGCGAUUUCACCUGAUAUCACAAGGCAAGAUAUAAAGUCUAGUUUUCUUAAAAGUCCGUUGCAUCGCGAUCGACAAUCUCAUUCAUAUUCGGCAGCUGAGAAAGAAAGUAAAAUAAAAAAGAAUUCACACCAACCAUACUCGAAAGACUCUGAACUAAACGAUAGUAAAACUUUGGAAUCAUUCUCUCAGGAUCGGAGUUUGUUCCUUGGUCCCACUGUUAAGCAUUGUUUAUGUAAAUUAAAGUUACAUAAGACUGGAAAAAACAAUAGACAAAGCAUUGCUGUUAAUACGGAUACAUUAUCUAACUCGGUAGCAGACAAAAAAUACCCGGCUACUAAAUUAAAACUCUCAAACCAGUUAACACAAUCUGACUCAAAAUAUCCAAAGCCAUAUGAAGGCUUGCAAAAAACUAAGAAGCGUACCAAGCUAAAGAGUUUUGGAGUUGGCACAGAAAAAACUAAAAUGGUAUCAAAAUCGAGUGAAACAAGGACAGUAGGAAGCAAUAACCAUAUUAGGUCGAAUUUUAGGAUACGGAAGAUUUCAUUGCAAAAAUUCAAGAACAUGAGAAAAUAUUCCGGCUUAGCUGAUUGGUCUGCACACACCGGCGAAAUAAAUCCAAAUUGGAAUCAAAAUAUUAAAAUAAACUCAAAUCUUAGCUUUAAUAUAAAUAUUUAUGAAGACGCAGCGCCUGAUAAUAAAACUCAACAACAUAUUUCAAAUACCCAUGGUAUUUUGAAAAAUGACUAUGACAGUAAAAAUAUUGUGCACCGACUUAGUGAUAACUUUAAAUCCCUGCUGAAGAUCAAAAGUCCCAAAACAAGCGGAUGUUUUUGCACAUUAGAAUUGGGAAAAAAAGGUGAACAGCAUCGGGGCAGCAAACUUUUAUCACCUUUUUUGACAAAGAAACCUAAUCAAGUUUAUAAAGUGAAUACGGUGACUAUUGCAGAAACCAAAAUAAUAGCUCCUAAAAUCUUUACACCGAAAGAUGUCGACGACUAUCGCAGUGUUAAUUCUAGUGACCAUACUAACAAUAGUAAACAAGCCCUCGACCAUACCAAUCAGAGGGAAUAUUGCGAGAGAAAAUUGACUACCGGCUUUUCAACAUCAACGUUUGCUGUUACAUCAAGAAAUAUUAAGUCAUGUAUUCGCGAAAACGAAAGUGCAACAUUGCAAGUCAACCCUAUAAAUGUAAAUUCAUUAAAAUUUUCGUCCAAAGAAAUAGUGACAAUUAAAUCCAAAUUCAGUUGUGAAUUAAACUAUGUAAAAAAUGAAUGUGUUAAGAGUGAUCGGAUUCAUAGCAAUACAUUGUACACAAAUAAUACGUUCCAGCUAAAUGACCUCGCGUCAGAAACAACAAUAGCAGAAGAUAUUAACGUAAAAAAAGGAGUCCCGAUUCAAAUUGAACACAUUGAUCGUAAUCAUCUUACUGGUGUACAACCCUUACUGAAGAGAUGUUAUUGUACUAUGAAUAUACAAGUGGCUGGUCAACAUAAUACAAAGCGUAGACACCAUCACUCAUCAAGGCUCAAAGAUUAUGAAUGUGAGCCUGGAGUUUGCGUACCUUACGAAUGUGACCCUUACGAAUGUCAAAAAAGAAUAAUGAGGCGAUUAAUGAAAAAGGUUUCAACAAUGUCAGGUACAGAUAAUAGGUUAAGAAACAGUGCUAGUGGCACUUCUUCAAUGAGGUCAGAUUCGAGAACUAGAGGAUUACAGCCUAGUUUAGUACACAAAGAAAGGCGUCGUCGACCUGAGCCUAGACCAAUGGGCUUCAGAUACCAAACAUUACCUCGAACACAUAGACAAGCAGUCAAAUAUGGUUCUUCUUUUAAUUUUGAUAUAGAAUUCUCGAAGCGCUCUAAAUCACCUACUGCAAAGGUAAUGAAAGUGCCUAGACGCUCUAGAUCGUCUAUAACUUCCUACAGGCAUUAUAUAGAUAGAGGAACAAGAGGUUUCGGUGGGGACAGGCGACACAGAGGAUCUCAAUCUACUCUGAGACACAUGCGUCAUCGAGGUUCUGGUGUUACCAUGCUAAGGAGGUGUUUCUGCACACUUAAAUUACAAAAAAAGGGAAGACAGCAAAGAGAAUUAGAAUUAAAAAAUAUACAUCGAGGUACUUCAACUCCCCCUAAAUAUCAAGUGGAUAAACCAAUCCUGAGAACUACUGAGACUGGUCAAAAUACGAAAGCAAGACAAAGGUACCCUGAAUUAUUGCCAUAUGAAUGUGAACCUGGGAUUUGUGUUCCUGGCGAGUGCGACCCCUAUGAAUGCUUGGAAUUAAUGAAGAGAAGAAAAGGUAAGCGUACCAGAAACUUCGGAACAGACUCAAUAGCAUCCGGAACUUCAUCUAGCUCAAGCAUGACUCCUAGUCAAAAACGAAGAGGGAGGCAGGUUCAAUCAAGGAACGUUCGAGUAAGGCCUAUUAAAUCUACGGAAGUUAUAUCGAAGCCAUCUGUCGUAUCUUUGGGAAGGCAUGUCACACCAUCAAGACAGGCAGUUAAAAUUAGUUCCAAUUUUAGCUUUAAUAUUGAAUUCUAUAAAGAUAAAACUUCCCCGGGUGAGGUUAGGGAAUCUCCGCAAAGCAAUGUAUAUAAUAAGACACCGAGAUAUGUAAGAGGAGUUCCGAAAUAUGUAAACACUCGAAGAAUGAUGCGAGAAGGUUAUUCUCAGGAUGUAAAACCCACUCGGGAUUUCUAUUCUCAAAUGGAUACACGUACACGCGGCCAAUCUACAAUGACAAGUAGAUUUCUUAAACGUUGUUUUUGUACAGCAAAAUUGCUAGGAUAUAACCAUAAGACUCGAUCAAGGCACUAUAAGUCAUAUGCUGUUUUGAAGCGUUGUUUUUGUACCCUAAAAAUGUUAUACGCUAAUAAAAGAGACUAUCGUCAACCGGAUAACGUAGGACAUGAAAGAGCUCCCCCUAUAAUUGAUAGACACGUUGUUAUGACGCAAACGCGAAGAUAUUCCCCAUAUCUUUUACCGUAUGAAUGUGAACCUGGCGUUUGUGUUCCCGGUUAUUGCGAUCCUUAUCAAUGCGAAAAGCUAAUAAGAAGAAGAAGAAUGAGAGAAAGAAUGAUUGGUACGGAAGGACCAAGAACAAGAUCAGUAUCGUCGGGUUUCGCAUCAUCUAGAACAUCCAAGGCAGGAAUGACACAAUCCAGGUCACCCUGGCCACCUGAACAUUUCAGAAGACGAGACUAUUCAGAAAGAGAAAUGGUAAUUAAAGAAAGAGUUACUGCACCAGUAUCACCACAAAGACAAGCCGUUAAAUUUGGAUCGAAUUUUAGUUUCGAUAUAGAAUUUUAUAAAGACAAGUUUCCUAAUCAUCACCAAAUUCAAGCGGCUACUACUUUUCAAAGACCUCGGCCAAGGAGAAGAAGGGAUCAUGGAGUUUAUCAUGGAUAUAGGACCAGAGACAUGGGUACAAGAGGUAGAGGUGUUUCAGUACAAAGUCGUGAUUCUCAAAUGUUUGCACCAAGAAGAAGAGAUAUGGGUAUCGGUCCAAUGUUGAGAAGAUGUUUUUGUACUUUACAACUAUAUAGACAAAAGCAAUCUCAGAAAAAUGAACAAUUGAAAACGAAUAUGAAAAAAUCUGACAACGACAAACACGACCAAUCGAAGAAAGGUAAACAAAAACAACCAAAAACUAAAAAACAGAAACAAUUAAAAACAGGUAAACAAAAACAAUCAAAAAAAGAUAAACAAAAUCAAGCAAAAAAAGAUAAACAGAAAAAAUCUAAGAAAAAUUGUUUGUGUAAAAAAGAUGAGUCAGCAAAUCAAGGUACCGCAACACCCGUAUUCCGAUAUAAAUUAGAACCAUAUGAGUGUGAGCCUGGUGUUUGUGUGCCCGGUGAGUGUGAUCCAUAUGAGUGUGAAAAACGUAUUAGAAAUCGACGAACGAAUUCAUCUGGAACAUUAACUGAACAUUAUAGAACCAGAUCGACUUCAAACAUGACAAAUUAUCGCCGUCGACAUCGAUAUAGUAACGCACAAUUUGUUCCCAAACGCAGGAAACCGAUGAGGACGCAUGAUGUCUAUUACAGAACAAAACCUAAAUACAACAGAGUAGUUGAGAGACCUUCAAAAGAAGCAGUGAAAAUUGGCUCAAAUUUUAAUAUUGACAUAGAAUUUUUCAAAGAUAAAUCACCCGCGGGUGGUUUAGUAAGGUCAAUGCCAGUAAAACAGUACACUACAUAUGACAAACACAGAAGGAGAGGGACAACUAGUAGAUCCACAGAGUGGCGAUCAACUCCUUCAAGAAAUCAUUGGGUACAACGAUCAAGCGCAAUGCGUGAUAUGGAUUCUCAAGCGUUUGGUCGAAAAAUGCGCUCUACCAUUACAGGGGCAGGGCCCUUCUUGAAACGAUGUUUUUGCACGUUGCAGUUACAUAAAUCUGAAAAUAAAACAAAACAUUUUGAUAAUGCAUCUGUUUCUACAGCAACUGAAAAAGUAAAACCAAAACAAAGACAAAGCCCUCACUCCAACAGUGUAGAAAAAUCGACUCACACAAAAAAACAAAAAUCUAAGAAAGACUGUUUGUGUAAAAAAGAUGAGUCAGCAAACCAAGGUACUGCAACACCCGAAUUCCAUUAUAAAUUAGAACCAUAUGAAUGUGAGCCUGGAGUUUGCGUUCCCGGUGAAUGUGACCCUUACGAAUGUGAAAAAAGAAUUAAAAGAAGGCUGUGGUCAAAGCAGUCUGGUACUGAACCUUAUAGAACCCGCUCAGUAUCUAGUGCUGUAGGUAGAAGAGCGGAAUAUAGGCCAGGGCAAACACAGGCCAGUUCUUACACUCCAUAUCAAAGAGCUCCAAGGACUCGUCAUGAUGAUGAAUAUGUUCGUGAUGAAAACCGAGUCAUAUAUAAUUCUAGUCCCAAUCGAAAAGCUGUGCGCAUUUCCUCCAGUUUCAGUUUUAGUGUUGAGUUUUACAAGGAUACAUCUCCAAAGUUUCCAUCUAUAAGUGAUGCUAAUAUAAUAUAUAUGCGUAAAAUGAAAGGAACAGAGACACGAUCAACGAGAACUCGAAGUAUGGCCUCCUAUUAUGAAAGAUUCGGGCCCCGACAUUGUCAGUCACAAACAGAUUGCAUUAAAUCGCACUGUAAAGCAUCUUGUACACCUUCACCGAGAAGGUGUUUUUGUACAUUGAAACUUCAAAAGAUGGGUAAAGACCAACAAUAUAUCUCGUAUGAGCCGUACACAUAUUUGACAGGCACACACACUCAAACAAAAAAUCUAAUGGAAAUUAUACCAGUAGCUCGUGAAAUUGGCACUAAAACAAAAAAAUACAGACAUAUUCUAGAACCAUAUGAAUGCGAACCAGGUGUAUGUGUGCCUGGUCUAUGUGACCCUUAUGAAUGUGUAAAACGAAUAAUGCGCAGAAAUUUUAAGCAUUUUGGAACAGGAACUGAUGGCUUCUCAACGAGGUCAAUCUCCAGCUUAACACCAAGAUAUGUAAGAGACAAUGCUAUGUCUCAAUCGUGUGAAGAUAAAUGUGAUAAAAAAAUAACACCAUCAACAGAAACCGUUUACGAAAACAGAAGACCAUAUCGGACUGAAGUUGUAGAAGAUCAUGAUCGUCAAGCCUUAUGUUUGGGUUCUAAUUUUAGUUUCAAUAUGGAAUUUUUCAAAGAUACAACAGUCAAGUCAGGAGAAUACGAUUACGAAUACGAGACACGAAGACGAUACAAAAUAUAUAAUAAUAAUCCAGUUAAAUAUAAGUCCAGAGUAUGUGCUUCUACAUGUGAUGGAAUCAAAUCUAGAAAUCGGGGAACAUACGGCAGAGGCUAUGUUGAUCACAGAACAUCUCAGGCAGGUGUGGAUACUGAAUCAAGAGGUUCCGGCGUGGGGCCAUUAUUAAAGCGCUGUUUUUGUACCUUGACGCUUCAGAGAGCAGAAGUAACAACUAAAUUCAAUUCACCAGCAACAAUGUCUAACAAGAAAACUUCAACUAAAAAGAAAUUCACUCCGGUUCCAGAACCUACAUAUUACUUAGAACCUGAUGAAUGUGAACCAGGUGUAUGCGUGCCUGGUGAAUGUAAUCCGUAUGAGUGUCUAGAGAGAAUCAAAAGAAGAGGCAUUAGACGUUAUUCCCGCACGACUGGUACGCGUAUGAGACGACCACAAGUUUCUGUUUCAAACAUGACUCAAUGUAUUCCGGGUUACACGUGUAAAAAAAUACAAUGCAAAGAAGAACCUUGUACCCCUAAAAAAAUUGAAAGAAUCAUUGAAGAACCUCGUUUUCCGUUUUUACAUAGGGGUAUUAAACAAGGUGUAAGAAUCUCUUCACGAUUUAAUAUUAACAUUGAAUUUUACAAAGAACCUCUAUGUCCUAUCAUAACAGAAGAACCAAUUUGUCCAAAGAAGGCGAUUUGUCGUACAAAAGAUAGAUGUAUUGAGUGCAAUAGAGAAUGGAAAACAACGAAAACAGGUAGCUAUGGUACCAAAAAAUGUUUACAUGACUGCGAGGCACAAUGUGCACUUGUCAAAACAGCGGACAAAUGUUCGGCUGUCGCUAUGUUAAGAAGAUGCUUUUGUACAGCAAAAUUACAAAGGUCGCAUUUGGCGCGAACAUAUCACCCGCAAUCGUAUACUGUUGGUAGAAUGGAACAAAUAAGUCCGACUCCACUUUUUGGGCCCAGAGAAUAUUGGGUUCAAUAUCAAACACCCAAUAAUAUUAAAAAAUCAUUUAAAACUAAGGGAUAUACUCUCGAGACAAUAAUGUCGCCCCGGAAAUCUAGCAACAAUAAAAGAUGUUGCAUUGGUCACGAAUGCACGUUUCGUCGAGUUCAAAGUCCAAUGGACAGAACUUUCAAAUCAGAAGGUUUUAGAAAAGAUUCAGAAGUCAAGCCAUCUAAUUUCAAGAAAAUAUUAUUCAGUUGUAAGCAUUUAUUUAGGAAGCGCUCCAAUCAAAUUUGUUUUAAUAAUUCCGACAAAAAAGAACCUGACCAGCCAGAAGUUAAGAAAAAACCGCUUAAUAGGCAACCAUGGAUAGAUAUUUUGAAACCAUCACAAAGUGAGCGACGUCCAAAAACAACAGGAAUCCCAACCAUAAAGAAAUCUAAAAGUCUAAAAGUUACCAGAGAAGGUCAAUUAAAUAUCCACAAGAAUUUUUUUUCGCGAUUCCAAUCUGGAGACGCUGACCAAGAAAACAACAACAGAAUACAAAAAACAACUGCAAGAAAUGUAAAACCCAAUUGUCCACAUUGUCAAGCCCAGGUUAAACGUGUUAAUAAGUCUUUAAAUAAAAAAGUUCGGUUCGCUUCCUUACUUAAUUAUAAAACUUCAAAAGCGCUCAUUCCCAUGGCUAUAAAACAGUCAAAUAAUUUAAAACCCAUUUCAUUUUUGUUCAAAAGCCGUACAUUUAAUGUAUGCUCAUGCUGCGGAGCUCUCAGAAAGACGAGAUUUCUCCCGCCGGUUUCACGGGGUGAAUUAUUGAAUAACAAGUCAUACGAAAACGUAACCAUAAGAAAAUCAGACAUCACUAAAGGGAUAACGCCAGUGCCAGCUAAAAUUGGAACAUUCAAAGAGAAAACGGGGCCCCCUAAAGGAACCAGGAAAAGACCUAAACAAUCUUGUCCUUGUUGCAUGUGUAAAAAACAGAAGACAAGUAAUAAUAGGAAUAGAAACCAUAUAGGUAACAAAAAAGAUGCACUUGCAAAAACAUGGGUAUGUGGAAGCGUUAUAUGUAAAGAAGCUAUAAAAGAUGCCGAAGAUAAACACUUAGCAUCCAGAAGAAAUGAAAGGAAAACACGUGACGGAACACGAAUUUGUGCAUCUAAAUCUAAUAAAGAGGCGCAUGCAACCGAUUCAGGGUACGAGCGAUUUCGAUUGCAAAGAAAGAACCAGGCAAGACAAGAAAAAGAAGCGCAAAUGCGUAAACAACUUUACAAAGCAGAAGACACAGUAUUAAUGAGAAUGCGAAAUACGAAAGAUAAAUACAUGUAUAAAAAAAUACCCAAAUACAAAAACGCUGAUGCCUUGCCUUUUACUGAAACAGUUCCAGACAUUGGUAAAUUGGGAAUAACUAGUGCAGGUGAUAAAUUACGUGGUGCACGCAGGGCAUUAGUUUUUGGCUCAAAACGAACAUACCGAAGUAUUCAAGCAUUUUUGCGAGACCCCAUGCGAGCAUGGAAAAAAAAUCAAGUUGCGGCAGGUACUUGUCCUAGAGUAGCAAGCCGUGAGUGUUUAAAUUUGAGGUGCCAAGUAAUGAAAUGUGUAAAAGGGAACAGAGAAAAGUUGGAAGAUCGCUCCGUGAAAAAAUUUCUUGUACACGCUCAUGGGACAGAUCCCAUGAAAAGAGUUCAUACUAGAAAACAGCAUCCAGCCUGGCGGCGGAAGUUGGUCUUCGCCUAUGGAUGUAGUCGAUUCAUGCUUUCGCUGAGGGAACAACCUUGGCUGACCGCAUACUACAAACGCGCUUGGCUUUACACACAUAGUCACUCUGUUCUUGAAAUCUGCAGACGAUUUAUGGAUAUUUCAUUGUUUUUGUUGGCAGUUCCAGUGUGCUCUCCUUGUAUAUUUUGUGCACAAUUAAGUAGAGCGUUGAUGUAUUGCUUUUUAUGUAAGCGUUAGUUUGGUGUUUGGAAUAAAUUCCAUACUUCUCCCUU